rnacentral:rRNA from 1 species
GGGUCAGUAGGUUGGUCGUGCCACCGGUACGUACUGGUCUCACUGAUUCCUCCUUCCUGAAGAACCGUAAUGCCAUUAAUUUGGUGUUGCGGGGAAACAGGACUGUUACUUUGAAAAAAUUAGGGUGUUUAAUGCAAGCUAACGCUUGAAUACAUUAGCAUGGAAUAAUGAAAUAGGACGAUCGAUCCUAUUUUGUUGGUUUCUAGGAUUGACGUA